rnacentral:rRNA from 1 species
CUGAAUAACUACGCUGAUCGCACGGGCUUGUCCCGGCGACGUAUCCUUCAAGUGUCUGCCUUAUCAACUUUCGAUGGUAGUUUAUAUGACUACCAUGGUUGUAACGGGUAACGGAGAAUAAGGGUUCGACUCCGGAGAGGGAGCCUGAGAAACGGCUACCACAUCCAAGGAAGGCAGCAGGCGCGCAAAUUACCCACUCUCAGAACGAGGAGGUAGUGACGAAAAAUAACGAGACAGUUCUCUAUGAGGUCUGUCAUCGGAAUGGGUACAAUCUAAACCCUUUAACGAGGAUCUAUUGGAGGGCAAGUCUGGUGCCAGCAGCCGCGGUAAUUCCAGCUCCAAUAGCGUAUAUUAAAGUUGUUGCGGUUAAAAAG